rnacentral:misc_RNA from 1 species
UUUCCGUAGGUGAACCUGCGGAAGGAUCAUUAAAGAGAAUAUGCCCUUCGGGGUAGAUCUCCCACCCUUUGUUCAUAUUACCUUUGUUGCUUUGGCAGGCCCGUCUUCGGACCACCGGCUUCGGCUGGUCAGUGCUUGCCAGAGGACCCAAAACUCUUAUUAUUAAUGUCGUCUGAGUACUAUAUAAUAGUUAAAACUUUCAACAACGGAUCUCUUGGUUCUG